AAUCUCAAAGGAAGGGCCCGGCUAACUUCGUGCCAGCAGCCGCGGUAAUACGAAGGGCCCGAGCGUUAUUCGGAAUCACUUGGCUUAAAGCGUACGUAGGCUGGUAUAUAGGCGUCUUGUGAAAUCCCUCGGCUCAACCGAGGAACUGCAAGGCGAACCAUAUAUCUUGAGACAGACAGAGGUCGUCGGAACGAUUGGUGGAGUGGUGAAAUGCGUUGAUAUCAAUCGGAACGCCGAAGGAGAAGUCAGGCGACUGGGUCUGUUCUGACGCUGAGGUACGAAAGCGUGGGUAGCGAACGGGAUUAGAUACCCCGGUAGUCCACGCCGUAAACAAUGUGCACUAGGUCGAGGGCGUUCUGACGCGACUCUCGGCCGAAGCGAAAGUGUUAAGUGCACCGCCUGGGGAGUACGGUCGCAAGGCUAAAACUCAAAGGAAUUGACGGGGGCUCACACAAGCGGUGGAGCAUGUGGCUUAAUUCGAAGCAACGCGAAGAACCUUAUCCUAGGUUUGACAUACACGGAUUAGCUAUAAGAAACUAUAGUGACACCUUCGGGUGGAACGUGAACAGGUGCUGCAUGGCUGUCGUCAGCUCGUGCUGUGAAGUGUCGGGUUAAGUCCCUUAACGAGCGCAACCCUUAUCGUUAGUUGCUAACAGGUAAUGCUGAGGACUCUAGCGAGACUGCCGGUGUUAAACCGGAGGAAGGUGGGGAUGACGUCAAGUCCGCAUGGCCUCUAUGCCUAGGGCUGCACACGUGCUACAAUGGCAAGUACAGAACGAUGCAAUACCGCGAGGUGGAGCAAAUCGCUAAAGCUUGCCCCAGUUCGGAUUGCAGGCUGCAACUCGCCUGCAUGAAGUUGGAAUCGCUAGUAAUCGCGGAUCAGCACGCCGCGGUGAAUACGUUCCUGAGCCUUGUACACACCGCCCGUCAAGUCAUGGAAGCUGGUAGUGCCUUAAGUCGCCGA
rnacentral:rRNA from 1 species